CUAAGAGCGAAGGCAGAUACUGCACGCAGGUUUCGACCAAUCAGAGGACCUAAACAAACCAAUUUGAAUUCCCGCAAUUAUAUGCGGUAAUGGUGGAUCAAUAUAGGCAAAUUGUAUAGACAUGAAAAGGAAAACAUGGGCUGCUGCUGGGUGCUUGUCAUCCAGCAAGCAAGGCAUCAAAUUCUUCAGCUUUCCAAGGGAUCCAGCACGGUGUGUCUGUUUUAAUUAAUGGUGUUAUUACUAUGUGUUGCUUAAUCCAAUGAAUAAAUUAAGUUUAGUGUAUGUCUGCGUUAAAUUUAUUCAACAUAACCCAAAAUUUUAGAAUGUGUACCAAGUUUGUAAUGUUUACUGAAGAAUUAUUUCUAGGUUUUAAGACUAUUUGUUCUACUUCUACAGGGCUGCGGUAUGGGCAGGAAAGGUUGGAAUAAGCUUCACUGUUGAUUCUGCUAGAAUGCUGCACAAAAUAUUUAUGCAGCAAACAUUUCCUGGAAAGUGAUUUCACUACACAUUGCAGCAAGCCACAACACCGUAUUGGCUACAGUGGGGUGCUGUGGUGAAUACCUGGCAACAGCUGUUUGAUGAUCACCUUGUGAACACAUUUGAAGCUAUUCGUUCGUAGUCUGGUUUGAACAAUAAUCCAACUGUGAGACAGUUUGUAGAUGCCCUGAACACUAACAUCAUCAGUGCACUUGCUAUCAGAGGUCUGUGUGGAACUAGUUGUGAGGAUGAUGGUGCUACUGUUGUGUGUAACCUACAGUCAUUGUUCAGGGCACCUGAUGCUUCUUCACCAAAAUCUGUCCACAAGUUGUGGCAAGGAAACCCCUGAUGAAGUUCCUGAGUUUCCAUGUUACUCAACAAGGUUGCUGCAGUACAUGCUGGUGACAGGAAAGUGUUCUCAGUAGCCUAUGUCAGUGGUUCCAUUGCCAGACAGAUGCUUCGUGGAGUCAGUUGUGAUGCACACAAGACAUGCAUGACAUCUGAAGUGCUGCUAUCAGCCAGUGUCUUCAUAUAUUUCUGAGACGUUGGUGUGGAGACUGUUGGUAGGCUGUAAUUCUAAUAUAAUGUAUGAUGGUAGGCAAUUCAAUUCAUGUUGCAGCAUAUCACAGCUGCCAUUAAGAGCUCCAUUGACUUUGAGUGGAUUAGGUGUACUGGUUGUUCACUUCACUACAAGGAAUAGUAGAUGGUAUUGUGAGAUGUCUCACAAGAAUUUACAUUCCUUGGUGGUGUAAGCGAACAAACAGGUUGAUGACUGAAUCAGCCAGCAAAGGGCCACAAAAGGGAAGAAUAAGAUACUGACACAUCAGUAAGUCAUUAGGAAAGUAAUGCUUCUUCAUCUUUGCCUUGUAAUAUCCUGCCCAUACCAGCCCUGGAAAUUGGCAGAGAGCAGUUAUUGAAUUACUGGAAUAAUAUAUUCCAAUUGCUCACAAGAGCAUCUAUAGAUGUUUCAUAAGUUGGAGAAAGUAACCCUGAUGACAAGCAACUGCAACUACCAUGCCUUCACAUGCUCUUGUCUCAAACCUCUGGUAUUGAAUAAUUUGUUGAUAACAUUGUCACCUAUAGUCAGAUUACAUACAAGAAACCUAUUCUGAUCUUGAGCUCCAUCUCUUUCAUGCUUUGCAGACCUGUUCCCUUCUUCCCAGUAUAUUAAAACAUCCUUCUCAGAAGAUGAUCAGAGUUCAUUCUGCCCUCUGUCUGAAAAUAAUAAUAUUUCAAUCGAGAAUUGUGUGGGAAAUUCUUUUCUGACUCAAAUGGCUCUUGUUUAUAUGUGGGUAAGAAUGAAGUGGCAUUACUUUAUGAUUGACUUGCAAUCUUCAGUUUCAGCGUUAAAUGCUGAGGAGCUGAAUCAAUGUCAGGAUUCAGUGUAUAUUUUGUAAUUAAAUUUAUUAACUGCUUCCUAGGUAAAAAGUUUUACUUAUUAGUGUCUACAUAUUUUAUUCAUCUAAUUUGUUAUUAUGGGUAUAUCCCUUCAGUCAUUGCAUCAUUUUGGCCAUAUUAUUGUGUUCAGCAUUGAUCUUAUGAACAUAAAUAUAUAAACAUCAGAUUUUUAAUGCUCAUUAUAUUCCUUUAGUUAUUUUAUUAUUUUGGCCAUAUUAUU